rnacentral:rRNA from 1 species
GACGAACGCUGGCGGCGUGCUUAACACAUGCAAGUCGAACGGAAAGGCCCUGCUUUUGUGGGGUGCUCGAGUGGCGAACGGGUGAGUAACACGUGAGUAACCUGCCCUUGACUUUGGGAUAACUUCAGGAAAAAGGGGCUAUAAUCGGAUAGGAGCACCUGAUACAUGGUGGGGGUUGGUAAGAUUCGGCGGUUGGGGAUGGACACGCGGUUUAUCAGCUUGUUGGUGGGGUAGUGGCUUACAAAGGCUUUGACGGGUAGCCGGCCUGGGAGGGUGACCGGCCACAUUGGGACUGGGAUACGGCCCAGACUCCUACUUGAGGCAUCAGUGGGGAAUAUUGCACAAUGGGCGGAAGCCUUAUGCAGCAACGCCGCGUGCGGGAUGACUGCCUUCGGGGUGUAAACCGCUUGCGCCUGUAACGAAGCGUGAGUGACGGUAAUUGGUAAAGAAGCACCGGCUAACUACGUG